GGCCUGAARUCMAGCNRARMUAYCSRCUGAAUUUAAGCAUAUAAGUGAGUGGAGGAGAAAAAACCAAACAGGAUUCCUUUAGUAAUAGCGAAUGAAGAAGGAGUAGCUCAGCAUGAUAAUUGGGGCAUCUGGCCUUGAAUUGUAGCUUGAAGAUGCAUUUGCCAAUGGACAUGAUUAUGGAAGCCUUUUGGGAAAAAGCAUCAUCGAGGGUGAGAAUCCUUCUUGACAUUUUAAUUGUCCAUGCACGGUGUGCAUUGAAGAUUCACGUUCCUUGGGAUUUGAACGCAAAAUUGUUGGUAAAUUUCAUUCAAAGCUAAAUACUAGUUUGAGACCGAUAGAAAACAAGUACCAUGAGGGAAAAGUGAAAAGGACUUUGAAAAGAAAGUUAAAAGUGUUUGAAAUUGCUGAAGAGGAAGCGGGUGUAUUUCAAAUACAAUUUUCAAGAUUGUUGCACAUAUUUGUUUUGCCUUGUUGUUUGAUUUAAUUGCAGCAGCAAGUUAUUACUUUGACUGUGCAAUGUUGCUUGUGUUUUGUGCAUCUAACAAUUUACAGCCAUAGAAACAAUCUAAACAUGAAUGUUUGCUUUUGUGUAAACGAACAUUUGGGCUCAGAUUUAGCUUGUGAAUUGUGAACACCAUGUUGACUGCACAAAUUGUUCCACACAUCAAUGUGGGAUAAUUUCACGACAUGAAUGAUUGCUAAAGAAAUACAUUCGGCCCGUCUUG
rnacentral:rRNA from 1 species